GGGCGGUUGGCUCAGCGGUUAGAGCACUUGCUUCACACGCAAGGGGUCACAGGUUCGAGUCCUGUACCGCCCA
rnacentral:tRNA from 1 species